GGAAAGGUGACUGAGUGGCUGAAGGUGGGCGGCUGCCGAAAGGUCCGCUCUCUGGUGUAACAGCCGGACGCAGGUUCGAAUCCUGUCCUUUCUCACCA
rnacentral:tRNA from 1 species